UAAUAAGAAGCAAAUUAUUGCAUUUAGUUUCGACCUAAAAGUAAGAUGAACACAUCCUUAUUUU
rnacentral:tRNA from 1 species